rnacentral:lncRNA from 1 species
CUGAAACUUUCGACAUGGCUUAGAUUUUGGUUUUAUUGGGCAGGUAUAGAGUAGUCUGUCUUAAACCUCACAGUGUCUCAGCUGAAUUUCCAGGGUGCUUGAAGUGUUUGAGAGACUUUCUUGGCCAAACUCCGUCUUCUAGCAAUAUUCAGUCUCUUAUUUCAAGCUCUGAAGCAUGCAGCUAGCUGUUGUCUGUUAAGUUUGAUGAGAUCUCAGCUUGCACAUGUGCAACUCAUCCCUUAAUGAAAGACUUGCCUGGAACCUCCGAACAGACUUUUGCCCAUCCUCUGCUUCUUCCUCCUGAUGCUCUGAAGAUCCUACUAAGCUGAAGAGGUAAAAAUCAGGGUGUUGGGUAGCUGAAGCAGUUGUCAUAUUCUCUCUGGACUCCAGCUCACUGUGCCAUGGUCACGAAAUUGUUAGUAGGCAGAAAACUGGGGUUAUCAUAGGACUUAUCUCAUGGGCUUUCCCUUUCCUCAAGGUUUGCAGUAUUGCACUUCAUGUUAUCCAAUCUAAAAACAGUGGCCUCAUACAUUUUGUCCAACUUUAUAAUUAUUCAUGUUAGAGGAAUUGACUGGUAUUAGUUAUAUCAUCAUAUUUGGAAGCAAAAUUCUUCUGCUUAAUUAUUAAAAAGAAUGUAGUAUUCAAGCCCAAAUCUCUAAGGAUAUAUUUAAAAAUCUUGUUUUCCUUGUUCUAUUAACUGUGGUUAUCUCAGUUAUAAGUUAUUCUCUUCGUUAAAUUUGUUUUCUUCUUUCAUGGCAUUGCUGUUUCUCAAAUUGUGAUUCUUGAUUGGAUGUGCAUAUCAAUCAAAAUCAUAACAAGAAACCUAUAGCAUGGUCAAAAUCAGAGGAAAGUUAAUUUACAAAGAUGUGGGAGUAGGGAAAUGUCAGGAUUAUUUUGUUUAGUCUAAACAGAACAAGUCAGUCUCUAUAAUGAUACCUGUAAGACAUUAAACAUGGGAAUUGUUGCCUACAUUUUCUGCCAGGCAUAGCAAAGAAGAAUUGGAUCAGUAUUUAUAGACAAGAAGAGAAAGAAAGGGACAGACAGGCAGAUAGACAUGGAGAGAGACAGAGACGAAGAAAAAGAUGAAAAAGAUAGAUACAGAGACAGAAAGAUAGAAAAAAAACUCCUUGUUGUGUUUAACAAUCUGGCUUUAAUUGUUCUAGCAUCCAUGUAUUUCUUGCUAUUUGUUCGUUGAGU